UGAUUAAAAUUAGCCAGAAUCAAACAGUUACAUGCGGUCAGUUUACGAAACGGUAAAACGGACGGUUCCCUUGGAAAGAAACUCAAGCAAACUGUAGUUAUAGUCUCGCUCGCCUCAUAAAAAAAGCAAAACAAACAAACGAAAAAACAAUUAAAGCAAGUUGACAUAAUUUUAAUGGAACAGCUAGCUUGUUUUAGUGUUGGCAAUGUUGUCAGUUAGCGUGUUUUUUGUGUAGCUAGCAGAGAUGUGGGCGGUAUAAGGUGGUUACAAGGAGCUCUGCCAAUAAACCAUGGCAGCAACAACUGGAGAGGGACCUUUAUGACAGAGAUAUGGACUUGAACGCGAAAAGAAAAGAAAAUGGCCUCAAAAUCAGAUAAGGCAGCCAAUUCCAUCUCCUCCCUCUGCUGCUCCUCCAGCAUUUCCAUCUUCAGCUGCUCCAGGAACUCACUAUGCUCAUCAUCCAGCCAGGCCUCCUCCAGCUAAGGGUGAAUGAAGGAGAGAAGCAUAUGGAGAGAGAGAAAAAAUAAAGGAACUAACACUUAAAGAUGCUGCCAGGAGCCACAGACCACAGUGAUUUAUAUUCCACUCUGCUCUCAAAGCGAACACCUUGCAGGGUCCGAGUCAACUUCAAGUGAAUCGGAGAGAAAGUUGAGCAGAAGGGAGAGCAGUAUUUUCUAUGCUUCCAACAAGUGUGAGAAAAUGCUUACAUGUAUCUCACAGCUUACUUGUUUGUAUGUCAGCUUUACCGAAAGGACUGUGCGAACAACUCCGACAAGACCUGAGUGCAUUUUUGGCUUUUUUUUUUGUCUUGGCAGUCAUAUCACGUUUGUAGCUGAGAGUGUAAUCACAUGGUUAGAACACUGCCAAGCUGUCAAAUUAUGUCAUUUCUGUGUAAUAAAAGAGUUCAAUUUCAUAAUAAGUAUACCCAAAAGAGAAACCUGCCUUGCUCACAUGAAUACUAAAAAAAAAUCAUAAAUUGGAAGAUGAAUAUUAAAUGUCACAAUUGAUUUAGUCUUCUAGCACUUUCAGUUGUUUAGGCAUUUCACUGCAGCACACUAAUCCAGCCAUGAUGAUACUCUGUUUCUAUAACAGUGUAUAAUAUGUAAAUGCAAGACUUCAAAGAACUGAAAUAAAAGGAAUCUGUACAAUA